CCCCCAUGUAAGCCCUUAAGCUGCAAUGCAGCUAUACUGUUUUCCACCUCGAGUGAGCUCCUGUCUCCCCAAUGGCUGACUGCUCUGUUGGUGUUCUUCUGUCUUUUUCUUUUUCUACCAGUGCUAUCUUCAGCGCUUCUGUAGCGCCAUCUAGUGGUGUUUUUUGAGUUGACCUCUACAUCUAUAAUUCCAGCCCCUAAUUGACAAAUUCCAACCAAGACUGCGGCAAUUUUUGCCUCUACACCUAAGAGGGGAUUCGUCUUUUGGACAUGUUGCUACCCCCUGUUUUUUCCUGUUCUUCAUACGCACGCUUUCGGUCACUUGAGCUGCGCUGUGUCCGUCCAGGCUGGUAUACUCUCUUUACAAGAUACCCCAACUAGUUAUAUACUGCCCGAUGGUGUAUGGUGAUUGUGGUUGAGGCCUUUAGCAUCAGACUCCACCCCACAAGGUGGGCUGUCUGACUACGGUUGCAUUCCGGACGCAUUUGGGCAUCAUUUUUCUGUUUGUAAACCUAUUGAGCACCAUUCAUCGGUGAGUACUAUAGUCAUAGAUACAUGCAUUUCUAGACGCUUGGAGGCCUAUGUGCAUAGGCGUUCUGUCUAAUAAUAUUUCUAUAUCCUGUAUACAUGUAUAUCUAAUGGCAACAUUAUAUUGUCUUUUAACAUCCAGAAGCUCCCGAAGAAGCGACGACGUCGCGAAACAUGUCGAGCUGAACCCCAUUUUAAAAAAAGAACUCAUCCCGUAUCAUCUUUUGAAGCUACAACGCCACCCAGCGCUUCCAGUGUAUUCAAUACAUCCAGCCCUGUGGCUAUAAAGCGGUGCCUUCAGAGAGUGAUAGGACUUGAGUUCUAUUGUUUACAUUAUUGGUCAUUUUUUUAUUUUUUAUUUUUAGUAUCAAGUGCAUUUGCUAUGUAUUUUGUAGUCUUGUAUUUUUCUAAUUAAAAUAUUAAUAAUUUUAUCAA